CAGAAAGACCCUAUGAAGCUUUACUGUAACUUGAAAUUGAAAUUGGACUUUAUUUGCGCAGUAUAGGUGGGAGGCGUUGAGUUUAUUCUUGCGGGAAUUUAGGAGCCAUCAGUGAGAUACCACUCUGGUAAUGUUAGAUUUCUAACUUUGGAUCAUAAUCUGGUCAAAGAACAGUUUCAGGCGGGCAGUUUGACUGGGGCGGUCGCCUCCCAAAUGGUAACGGAGGCGUACAAAGGUUUCCUCUGAACGUGUAGAAAUCGUAUCUAGAGUGUAAAGGCAUAAGGAAGCUUGACUGUGAGACCUACAAGUCGAGCAGGGACGAAAGUCGGUCUUAGUGAUCUGACGGUGCUGAGUGGAAAGGCCGUCACUCAACGGAUAAAAGUUACUCUAGGGAUAACAGGCUGA
rnacentral:rRNA from 1 species